AGCCCCGUACACAAAAGCGCAUGUGCUGUGAGCUCGAUGAGUAGGGCGGGACACGUGGUAUCCUGUCUGAAUAUGGGGGGACCAUCCUCCAAGGCUAAAUACUCCUGACUGACCGAUAGUGAACCAGUACCGUGAGGGAAAGGCGAAAAGAACCCCGGCGAGGGGAGUGAAAAAGAACCUGAAACCGUGUACGUACAAGCAGUGGGAGCACCCUUUGGGGUGUGACUGCGUACCUUUUGUAUAAUGGGUCAGCGACUUAUAUUCUGUAGCAAGGUUAACCGAAUAGGGGAGCCGGAGGGAAACCGAGUCUUAAUUGGGCGUUAAGUUGCAGGGUAUAGACCCGAAACCCGGUGAUCUAGCCAUGGGCAGGUUGAAGGUUGGGUAACACUAACUGGAGGACCGAACCGACUAAUGUUGAAAAAUUAGCGGAUGACCUGUGGCUGGGGGUGAAAGGCCAAUCAAACCGGGAGAUAGCUGGUUCUCCCCGAAAGCUAUUUAGGUAGCGCCUCGUGAAUUCAUCUCCGGGGGUAGAGCACUGUUUCGGCUAGGGGGCCAUCCCGGCUUACCAACCCGAUGCAAACUGCGAAUACCGGAGAAUGUUAUCACGGGAGACACACGGCGGGUGCUAACGUCCGUCGUGAAGAGGGAAACAACCCAGACCGCCAGCUAAGGUCCCAAAGUCAUGGUUAAGUGGGAAACGAUGUGGGAAGGCCCAGACAGCCAGGAUGUUGGCUUAGAAGCAGCCAUCAUUUAAAGAAAGCGUAAUAGCUCACUGGUCGAGUCGGCCUGCGCGGAAGAUGUAACGGGGCUAAACCAUGCACCGAAGCUGCGGCAGCGACGCUGAUGCGUUGUUGGGUAGGGGAGCGUUCUGUAAGCCUGCGAAGGUGGCCUGUGAGGGUUGCUGGAGGUAUCAGAAGUGCGAAUGCUGACAUAAGUAACGAUAAAGCGGGUGAAAAGCCCGCUCGCCGGAAGACCAAGGGUUCCUGUCCAACGUUAAUCGGGGCAGGGUGAGUCGACCCCUAAGGCGAGGCCGAAAGGCGUAGUCGAUGGGAAACGGGUUAAUAUUCCCGUACUUGGUGUUACUGCGAAGGGGGGACGGAGAAGGCUAUGUUGGCCGGGCGACGGUU
rnacentral:rRNA from 1 species